rnacentral:siRNA from 1 species
AGUCGUCGUAACGUUUCAGAGACC